UACGUAGGGCGCAAGCGUUAUCCGGAAUUAUUGGGCGUAAAGAGCUCGUAGGCGGUUUGUCGCGUCUGCCGUGAAAGUCCGGGGCUCAACUCCGGAUCUGCGGUGGGUACGGGCAGACUAGAGUGAUGUAGGGGAGACUGGAAUUCCUGGUGUAGCGGUGAAAUGCGCAAAUAUCAGGAGGAACACCGAUGGCGAAGGCAGGUCUCUGGGCAUUAACUGACGCUGAGGAGCGAAAGCAUGGGGAGCGAACAGG
rnacentral:rRNA from 1 species